GAGCUAGCGCGGACGACCGUUCAAAUAAACCGCCCCGGUUAGGUUGGCAGCAUUUUGGUGUUAUUAAGUUGGCUCCUCUUUCCGACUGUCUUGUGUCUUGUCUUUGCGCGCGCUCUGAGCGUUUCUGUCUUUGUUUCUGUGUUAUACUUCGCUCGAACUAUGUUGUUUCCUUGUGCUGACAAGAACAAUGGAUGGAAGAGAAACAAAUUUGAAGCACGGGUGCUCUCUUCAACUGGGAAUAAAUAGAGGGACCAUGAAGAGACGGCAGAGAAACUUUGCCUUCAUGAUGAUUCCGAGCCGAACAUCUUUUCAAAAUGAAUCGGCAUCAGAAACAGAACUUAAUAAUAUGAUUCUUCUAGUCUCUUAGUUGUUCUCAAAGUCUGCAACUCAAUUUAAUAGAAGCAAUCAAGAUGUGGGAUGAAACUUGGACUACGAUUGAAAUUCUGAACUCCAGAUUUGACUUUUUAGUUGCUCGUCACAGCUACUUCACACUAUAUUUGUUUCGUUUUGUACUCUGAUAGUGUCCAAAAGUCUGAAACUUGAGUACAUCUUCUUUUGUGGGCCACGUUGACAUACAGCAAUUAUGAUGUGGGAUGAAAUUUGGACUACGAUAGAGGUUUCGGACCCACAAUAUGAC